ACUACCAGCCCCGAACUACACUUCCCAGCGGUCUUCGCAAGAGCCCACUCUCGCCAGGUGGGUUCCGCUACAGGAUUCUCGCGAGGCCGUGUGAGGCGCGCGCGGAGCGACCUGGGAAGUGUAGUCUAGGGCGCCUUGGUCCUAGCCUCCGGGCCCUGUACUGGGCUAGGGAGGGAGGAGGUGGAGGGGAGAACUACACUGCCCAGGAUUCCUCGCGCGCGGACGGUCUUUGACGUUGCUAGGAGACCGGAAAGCCCGGCGGCGGCAGGACAGCAGCGGGCCGCGAAGUGCUGACAGCAGAUCUGACCCGGUUUCGGGCGCGGAUAGAAGGCUCCCGCCUGCGGCCAAAGCGACGCUGGCGCCGGCCGCCCCUCGUCUCCACUAGAGAAAGUAACAGCACAGGGCCAUGUGGCCGAUGUGCGGAGGCCGUUGUCUGAGUGGAUGGGAGAGCGCGCGGACUAACCCAUUUCGCUGCUGAGCGCCUUGGUGACGCUCACUGUCUCCGAGUGGCGCCUGCAAAAACCGAGGCUUCCGAGCCCAGACCCUUCGGACGCUUGGCUGCGAGCCCCGCGCGGGUCCCGGCCAAGCUGGGCAGGGACGUUCACUCCGCGUGGGGCUCCUGAUGUGAAGCCCAAGACGGAAUUGGGGGUGAUGUGGAGCCUCUGUGGGGUCAAAUGAAACAGGAUAUCGCGGUGCCUGGUCAAACCUCCCUUGGGCAUGCAGAGCGCCCCGGGGGAAGGGGGGUGCCAAGGAGCUUCUGGGAGAAAAGACAGUGAGAUUGACCACUGCCCUUCUCGUGUCCAGCCUGGUUAUACCUUCCCUGGGGGGGGGGGUGGCCCCCAGAGCAAGCAGGCAGGCAGGGGCACUGGGUGUGCCCGGGGGGUGUCAUCCUAAGAGAUGCGCUGCUCUCUGGGUCCCGGGCGGAGCCAGUUUUCCUCAAGGGCCACUUGGAGAGCAGUGUCUGGGCCGGCGACUGAACAGAGACCUGUGGCUUGGCCUGCACCAGGGAGGGGCCACCACCGUGCAUGACUGUUACACAGGCUCUGCAGGUCUCGCCGCACAUCCACGUCCACGGGACUAUGAGCAGACAGCGGGAGGUUCGGUUCCAGGAUGCCCCUCAGGCCUCUGGCCUCAGAAUGACACCACGCUUCCGUCCACCAGAAACGGGCGUGCGCGACCAGGAUGAGCUGGUCUCUGACGGCAGCAGGUUUUCAGAAUGAUGUGACCGACGGCAGUGAUACACACGCCUGAGAACUAAGUCACGGCUGGGAAGGUGAAGCUCACGUGAGCAGGAGGAACCUGGGCCCCGACCUGGGACACCUGAGCACUCGGAUCCCGUCUGCGUCCCGGCUCUCGCUCUGCUGUCUGCUAAGGCGCCUCCUGUGCCUGCCAGGCGUCGCAGAACGACUUUCCGGGUCCAGGAGCCGAGCCGUGUCCACCUGCUGGGCUGCUUCUGAAGACCCGGGGACGCAGUGGUCCCGGCCUCCUGUGAUUUGUUUCUGAGGCUGUGCUUCCCCCCGGAACCUCCCCAGCGUCAUCUGUCCAUUCACCACAAAGCGGUCACUCAGGGCUUCUCAGCAAGGUCGAGCCCAGGCUCCCUGAAACGCCACCAGAGAAGCCUGGGGGCGGGAGGCUGCUGAGUGCAGGUGGACUGAGUCUGCGGAGGCCGGGCCGGCCCGGUUGUGGUGGUCAGGGAGGAGCAGGCUUGGUUAGGCCUGGACGCGGUCCCGGCGGUAGUUCAGGGUUGGUGGACACAGGAAGGCAAAGGUUCCGAGGCGUCUUUGUGGGAUCUGUUGAAAGCCUGGUGUUUAAGUUUGGUUUUUUGUGUUUUAUUUUUUUCCAUAAAGCUCCUGAAAUGAACAAUAAAGUUCUUUUAUCUUUCUGUG